rnacentral:lncRNA from 1 species
AUGAAAGAACAGAUGCAAGAACUGUAUUCAGCUCAAUCACAAACAGAAAGUAUGGACUCUAUGUUCUUACAAGUGAAUGGCGAGGACGGCUCCAGCGAGUUUAUGCACGGGCACCCUGAUUCAGAGUGCAUCAAAAUGUAUACCUGUGAUGAUUGCGGACUUCUCUGCUCAACUGUCGAAGUCCUUCAGCGUCACAAGCGACAGAUCCAUGCAGUUGCUAGGAAAUGUUACUUGUGCCCUUGUUGCAAAGACAGUUUUCCUAAUACUUGGAGUGUUCAUAGGCAUUUAUUCAAAGUCCAUCAUAAAACAAAUGAGCAAGUGCGGAAACUAAGGUUACAAAUUAAAUCCAAAAUUCUGAAACCCGGUAAAACAACAAGGAAUUGCCUGACAAGACAAAAAUGGUCCAACCAAAAAUUACAGAUCAGGAGAAAUGGAAUCUGGAAAACGAGGUAAUUAUGAUCUAAGUGUGUGCAGGGUUAUCCAAAUCAAAUGGUAGAAACUUCAGGGAUCAAUUCUUUUGACCGAAAUAAGAUUAUUUAAUUUUGUGACAUUUUUCGUAUGAGCCAUUUUGAUUCACUUCAUGAUUCUCCUUUAGGAGACGCUCCUAAACCUCCCUCCCCCAUGUUUUCAGUUUUUACUCUUGUUUUUUCACCAGAAUAGGAUAAAUCGUAUAAAAGGAUCUCUGGGCCCCAAAUUUCCUAACAUUUUAUUUUAUAACUGGCUGUAAUUUUUUUUUUUUUUAAAAAAAAAAAAAAAAUUCUAGAAUUUUCGAGGGGUCAUAUUUCUCUUCAAACUAGCUCAAACGAAGAAAUGUCAUGGAACAAAAUAAUCUCAUUUAGGUCUGAAGAAUGGAUCCCUUCAGUUUUUGCUAUUUGAUACGGGACACCCUGUGCAUUCUGUCUUUUAAAAGGAGUGUGGGGAGAGAGUGGAGUCUUUAUAAGUGCUGUAUAUAAUGCCUACUCCUCCUAUCAUGUUCUAAAAGGCAGUGAUAAUUCAUUACAGGCAAAUUUGCUCGUGAAAAACCGUGAGUUUUUCCUAUUUCAAAUUUUAAUUUGAGCAACUUUUAGUUUUUAACAAAUUCAAUCAAUCGAAGUAAUUUUUAAAAACAUGUACACACAAGACUUGCAAAAGAGUCGAAAUUGUUGAGAUGGAAUUCGAUUUUUCUUGUUAAACCAUCGACCGACUCAUGAAUGUAUUUUCGGCAGUGAGGACCAACAGUCCUUUAAGUUCUAUUCAAAUUAAUUGCAGCUUGUUUUGUAUUUCAUCACUCUGUCGGCGAUUUUUACAUAAGAUCAGUUUGCAGGUCUUAUCAUAAUCAUGCCAAGGAAGAAAGCUGUAUGAGCCCUCAGAUGUUGUCAUAUUUCCUCAAUAAAAACGAAUAUAGUGGAAAAAUGUCGAAUAUUUUCUUCAAUUUUUUCUGACAAUGUUGCUAGCAAUACAAUGUGAAAUAUCUAAAAUUUCAAGGUAUAAUAUGCAUACCUUUCCUUAAAAAAUAAUAUUUACUCAGAGAAAUUCGGUAACUCUUGAAUUUUCAUAAAGCGUCCUUCCAUAGCGUAGCAGUGUGACACUUGUUAGUAAAGUUUCUUAGGAGAAAGUAACAAAGAAUACUUGUUUAUUUUUCAAUCUCUUAAGGAGAGUAGUGGACCUAGCGAUAAAUUUGCUUUAUUGGCUUAAAGUACUUUCACCUGUUUUUUUUGUCUCAAACUCAAACUAACUCUCUGCCUUGAUUUUCAGGAGUGGCUUGAUCAGAUGGAGAAAGAUGAUCUACUUCGUUGUGGAAGUUGUGGUCGCAGAUUUGAGCGGCGAGCAGCAUUGAAAGCCCAUUCCGAGUUUGCCAAAGUCGUGUUUCCAUUAGUAGCAUUAGUAGUAUUCAAUGCCGAGUGACCUCUGAAAAAUUAUCAAAUCAAGCUGACCCUAAACCAAAGUCUGACAAUGACGACCUGAAAUUGCAUCCUGUUGUUGCAUUAACAGCGCUCACCCCCGCGCAGAUCAAAGAUAGUCUAAGCGCUAAAGACAAAGCUCCAGAGAAGAAAAUUGGCAUCCAGGUACGCAUGGACUACUGCAAAAAUACGUCUUCGAAUUCGUUGGCCGAGGAACGAGUUCCCAAACCAUCGCCGGUUGAAGUCAUCACGAUUGAUGAAGAUAGAACUCAUGAUAGGUCGAAGACUUGUCUGGAAACUUUGCUAACUAAGAAACGAAAUAACCGGUCAGAUAGUGGCAACGACUCUGAAUCUCAAGACGAUAUGAGCGUUGGGCUGGACUUCAGCAGCGAUUCUGUGAUAAAUGAAGAUUUAAUCAAACUUAAUAUGCAUGACAUUCCAGGUAUUAGCUCAACAGACUCCAACGUCGGCUCUAAUGACACAGCGUUGAAGGCUCCGUCAGGAUAGAGUCAGCAAAUGAUGAAUUUACAAGUGAAAAUAUACCUAACAAACGGAAGAAAGCUUGUCCAGUCAAAAGACGAAUCAGUGCCAAAAAAAACGUUGUCCAAAAAGUCAAAUGAUGGAGAGUGUGUUUUUCGGAGGGAAGGUGUCAAAGCAACGUAUGCAAAUUGUAAGAAAAAGACUGCACCAGGGAAGUCUAUAAUUUUUCUCACUCUUGUCCGGAGCAUGUUAAGCAACUCACCGAUUAUUACAACAAAACGGACAGUGUUUGUCUUCUCUGUAAUAGUUAUACAGACCCAAGUGACAUCCUACAGCACGUAUCGGAGCAUGGACGUUGGAUCAAGUUCCGCUGCAAGUGGCCAGAGUGUACAUACAAGGCGUACAACAGAGUCGAAUUAAUUCUGCACGUCACAAAAGAGCACAAAUUCAAAAAUGGAGAAGUUGCUCAUGAUUUUGUCGACCUGAUCUCAAGAGAAGACUGGAAGUUUGUUGUCGCAACGUCAGCUAAUAAUGGCAGUGUCCUACUAGGGAAAGUAACUGAACUUAACGAUAGACUUAACGGAAAAGAAAGAAUUAAUGGAUCUGGACCACUUUUGAAAAAUAUUCUCGAAGUGGCAAGAGAUGUAGAAAAUUCCGUUCCAUCCAAAGAAAAUAUAGAAGAAUCAACAGAGUCAGAUACCAAACCAGAAU